rnacentral:rRNA from 1 species
AUUGAACGCUGGCGGCAUGCCUUACACAUGCAAGUCGAACGGCAGCACGGGUGCUUGCACCUGGUGGCGAGUGGCGAACGGGUGAGUAAUACAUCGGAACAUGUCCUGUAGUGGGGGAUAGCCCGGCGAAAGCCGGAUUAAUACCGCAUACGAUCUACGGAUGAAAGCGGGGGACCUUCGGGCCUCGCGCUAUAGGGUUGGCCGAUGGCUGAUUAGCUAGUUGGUGGGGUAAAGGCCUACCAAGGCGACGAUCAGUAGCUGGUCUGAGAGGACGACCAGCCACACUGGGACUGAGACACGGCCCAGACUCCUACGGGAGGCAGCAGUGGGGAAUUUUGGACAAAGGGCGAAAGCCUGAUCCAGCAAUGCCGCGUGUGUGAAGAAGGCCUUCGGGUCGUAAAGCACUUUUGUCCGGAAAGAAAUCCUUGGCCCUAAUACGGUCGGGGGAUGACGGUACCGGAAGAAUAAGCACCGGCUAACUACGUG